rnacentral:rRNA from 1 species
CCUACGGGUGGCUGCAGUGAGGAAUAUUGGUCAAUGGACGAGAGUCUGAACCAGCCAAGUCGCGUGAAGGAUGACUGCCCUAUGGGUUGUAAACUUCUUUUAUAUGGGAAUAAAAUGUUCCACGUGUGGGAUUUUGUAUGUACCAUAUGAAUAAGGAUCGGCUACCUCCGUGCCAGCAGCCGCGGUAAUACGGAGGAUCCGAGCGUUAUCCGGAUUUAUUGGGUUUAAAGGGAGCGUAGGUGGAUUGUUAAGUCAGUUGUGAAAGUUUGCGGCUCAACCGUAAAAUUGCAGUUGAAACUGGCAGUCUUGAGUACAGUAGAGGUGGGCGGAAUUCGUGGUGUAGCGGUGAAAUGCUUAGAUAUCACGAAGAACUCCGAUUGCGAAGGCAGUUCACUGGACUGCAACUGACACUGAGGCUCGAAAGUGUGGGUAUCAAACAGGAUUAGAUACCCUUGUAGUC